rnacentral:lncRNA from 1 species
GCUUCCCUCUGCCACACUCUUCUGCCACAAUGUUUUUCCUCACCUGAAGCCCUGAGGAAUGGAGCUGCCCUUCUAUGGACUGAGACCUCUGAAACCGUGAGCCCUCAAAUAAACUUUUCCUUCUCUAAAAUUGUUCUUGUCAGGUCACAGCAGCAAAAAACCUGACUAAAACACUAAGGUUUGCUGUUUUCAUUUAUUGGUGUCAAAUUAUUGCUUUCGUGACAGAAUCCCACCUCUGAAAUUAUAAUGAUAAACCUAGGAACAUAAGUUAAUUUAUAGAAUUUCAUUUCAGACACUCUGUGGUAGGGUUAGCAUGAUUGCAUUGUUUGAAAUGAAUGCAUGCCAUGAAGCCUGGUGCACUUAAAUGACUUGCUUCUUUCUUUCAAGAAACCGAUUUAAAAGUUUAGUAUCAUUGCUUCUACAAAUUCAGAAAGACUGAUCAGUGCAUAAACAACAUUUGGUUAAGCAGAAAGAUCUUCACAUGUUUAAAAUGUUCACGAGUGGAGGUCUAUUUAAUGGGAGCAGGUUCACACUAGCAUUCCACGACCUAACUGAUUCCUGGGCUCUUGGCAAGAUGUUUUUCCUUUAAUGUACAUGAUUUAUGUUAUAGUACACAUAUGAUUCAUGCAUACUUCUAGACUUGGCAUGGAGCCUGUUUUGCUGUGUAUAUUAUUGUCUUACCAGAUCUCUCUGUUCCUGGGACCUACACCAAGUCUUAUUUAGAUUAUAGGGAAAAUAAGGGCAUUUUGCUGCUGUUACAAAAUAAUCCUUGCAAGUGUUUCAGUGUUUACAUGAGAUAACAGUCCUACAGAAAGAAAUGCCAGUUAUAUCUUCACAGCUGUGUGGCACCACCCCCAGCAGCCAGAGAAGGUGGAGUAGGUUUCAUAGCUCUUUCCUCCUGCCACACUUUAAACCAUGUGACUCAAGCUAAGAUGACACCAAAUUUCAGGAGAUAUAAAUGUGUUCUUAGAACAUGGAAUGA